rnacentral:rRNA from 1 species
CCUACGGGCGGCAGCAGUGGGGAAUAUUGGACAAUGGGGGGAACCCUGAUCCAGCCAUGCCGCGUGUGUGAAGAAGGCCCUCGGGUUGUAAAGCACUUUCAGUGAGGAAGAACGCCUGGUGGUUAAUACCCAUCAGGAAAGACAUCACUCACAGAAGAAGCACCGGCUAACUCCGUGCCAGCAGCCGCGGUAAUGCGGAGGGUGCGAGCGUUAAUCGGAAUUACUGGGCGUAAAGCGCGCGUAGGUGGCUUGAUAAGCCGGUUGUGAAAGCCCCGGGCUCAACCUGGGAACGGCAUCCGGAACUGUCAAGCUAGAGUGCAGGAGAGGAAGGUAGAAUUCCCGGUGUAGCGGUGAAAUGCGUAGAGAUCGGGAGGAAUACCAGUGGCGAAGGCGGCCUUCUGGACUGACACUGACACUGAGGUGCGAAAGCGUGGGUAGCAAACAGGAUUAGAUACCCGGGUAGUC